GGGGAUUUAGCUCAGUGGUAGAGCACUUGCCUAGCAAGUGCAAGUGUCCCUGGGUUUGGUUCCCAGCCCCG
rnacentral:tRNA from 1 species